rnacentral:rRNA from 1 species
CCUGGCGGCGAGUGGCGAACGGGUGAGUAAUAUAUCGGAACGUACCCAAGAGUGGGGGAUAACGUAGCGAAAGUUACGCUAAUACCGCAUACGAUCUAAGGAUGAAAGCAGGGGACCGCAAGGCCUUGUGCUCCUGGAGCGGCCGAUAUCUGAUUAGCUAGUUGGUAGGGUAAAGGCCUACCAAGGCUACGAUCAGUAGCUGGUCUGAGAGGACGACCAGCCACACUGGAACUGAGACACGGUCCAGACUCCUACGGGAGGCAGCAGUGGGGAAUUUUGGACAAUGGGCGCAAGCCUGAUCCAGCAAUGCCGCGUGAGUGAAGAAGGCCUUCGGGUUGUAAAGCUCUUUUGUCAGGGAAGAAACGGUGGGGGCUAAUAUCCCCCACUAAUGACGGUACCUGAAGAAUAAGCACCGGCUAACUACGUGCCAGCAGCCGCGGUAAUACGUAGGGUGCAAGCGUUAAUCGGAAUUACUGGGCGUAAAGCGUGCGCAGGCGGUUUUGUAAGUCUGAUGUGAAAUCCCCGGGCUCAACCUGGGAAUUGCAUUGGAGACUGCAAGGCUAGAAUCUGGCAGAGGGGGGUAGAAUUCCACGUGUAGCAGUGAAAUGCGUAGAGAUGUGGAGGAACACCGAUGGCGAAGGCAGCCCCCUGGGUCAAGAUUGACGCUCAUGCACGAAAGCGU